GCAAAUUGUUGUUAACUGAUGUUAAUAAAGUGUAGGGGUGAGUAUUUUAAAUAAGAAACACUAUAGACUUCGGAAAUAGAAGAUAUAAAAAAGGAAUUUUUCUACUAUAGAAUUCGAUUUAAAUCGAUUAGGUAGUUGAUAGGGUAAAGGCCUACCAAGCCAACAAUCGAAAGCCAGGUUUGACAGAUCAUAUGGCCACAUUGGGAAUGAAAUAUCCCAAGUAGAGAACUCUACCAGCAGUCGAGAAUAUUAGUCAAUGCUCGCAAGAGUGAACUAGCUAACUGGAAUCAUGAGUGUGUCACUCGUGAAUUGUAAAAGGAAAAAUAAUGAUGUCACUUUUAUAAAUAGUGUUGUCCAAAGCUGGUGCCAGAAGACUCGGUAAGGCCAGAGACGCAAGCGUUAAUCAUCUUGAUAAGGCGUAAAGGUUUGUAGGCAGCUUUAAACUAAUUAAAGAUUGAAUCAAAUAGAGGUAAAGAGAAUUCCUAGAUUAGGGUUGAUAUCUGUAUAAACUAGGAAGAAUUCUAAUUAGCGAAGGCACUUUACUAUCUAAUGAUUGACGCUGAGAAACGAAGGGGAGGAUCGACAAUAGGAUUAGAGACC
rnacentral:rRNA from 1 species